GAUGAACGCUGGCGGCGUGCCUAAUACAUGCAAGUCGAGCGAACGGACGAGAAGCUUGCCUCUCUGAUGUUAGCGGCGGACGGGUGAGUAACACGUGGAUAACCUACCUAUAAUACUGGGAUAACUUCGGGAAACCGGAGCUAAUGCCGGAUGCUAUUUUGAACCGCAUGGUUCAAAAGUGAAAGACGGUCUUGCUGUCACUUAUAGAUGGAUCCGCGCUGCAUUAGCUAGUUGGUAAGGUAACGGCUUACUAAGGCAACGAUGCAUAGCCGACCUGAGAGGGUGAUCGGCCACACUGGAACUGAGACACGGUCCAGACUCCUACGAGAGGCAGCAGUAGGGAAUCUUCCGCAAUGGGCGAAAGCCUGACGGAGCAACGCCGCGUGAGUGAUGAAGGUCUUCGGAUCGUAAAACUCUGUUAUUAGGGAAGAACAUAUGUGUAAGUAACUGUGCACAUCUUGACGGUACCUAAUCAGAAAGCCACGGCUAACUACGUG
rnacentral:rRNA from 1 species